UACAUGGGGUGCAAACGUUGCUCGGAAUUAUUGGGCGUAAAGCGCACGUAGGCGGUUUGUUAAGUCGGAUGUGAAAUCCCUCGGCUCAACUGAGGAAGUGCAUCCGAAACUGGCAGGCUUGAGUACUAAAGAGGGUCGCGGAAUUCCCGGUGUAGAGGUGAAAUUCGUAGAUAUCGGGAGGAACACCAGUGGCGAAGGCGAUCACCUGGGGUUGUUCUGACGCUGAGGAGCGAAAGCUAGGGGAGCAAACGGGG
rnacentral:rRNA from 1 species